AAAAGUUUGAUUCUUGCUUUGAAAUUAGUUAAAUAUUAAAUUUACAUGUUUAAUUUUUAAUAAUCAAUUUUCAGUAACUAAUUUUAUUAAAUAUAAUAGUAUUUAUUUAGUUUUUUAUUUAAUAAGUAGAUUAAUUUUGUGCCAGCAAUCGCGGUUAUACAAUUUACUUUGAUUAAUUUUUUAGGUUAAUAAAUAUUUAACUAUUUUUAGUAUAUUAAUUAUUUUAUUUAAGUGGAAUUUAUAAAUUAAAAAAUUUUCUUUAAAAUAUUUUGUGAAAUCUAAAUUUUAAACUAGGAUUAGAUACCCUAUUAUUUUUUAUUUAAAAGUUAACCCAGAAUAUUGUUAGUUAAGUUCUUUAAACUCAAAGAAUUUGGCGGUAAUCAACCUUUUUAGAGGAACCUGAUUUAUAAUUGAUAAACCACGAUAGAUUAAACCUUUAUUAAAUUUGUAUAUCUCUAUGUUAAGGAGAAUCUUUUUAGGGUAAAAUUUUCUUUUUCUUUAUAGAUUAAUAUUAGGUCAAGGUGCAGUUUUAUAAAGGAAAAAUUGGGUUACUUAAAAUAUUAAUUUUUAUUUUUUAUUUAUUAUUUAUUUAAUAUUAUUAUAGGAUUUAAUAGUAAUUUUAAUUAAUUAAUUAUUUUGAAUUUAGCUCUAGAUUAUGUACAUAUCGCCCGUCACUCCCAAUGAUAUGGGAUAAGUCGUAACAAAGUAGUUGUACCGGAAGGUGUAGCUAGAAUGAA
rnacentral:rRNA from 1 species